GAUGAACGCUGGCGGCGUGCCUAACACAUGCAAGUCGAGCGAACCUUUCGGGGUGAGCGGCGGACGGGUGAGUAACGCGUGGGUAACCUGCCCUAUACACACGGAUAACGUACCGAAAGGUACGCUAAUACGGGAUAAAGUUGUUGGAUGGCAUCUUCUAACAAUCAAAGCUCUGGCGGUAUAGGAUGGACCCGCGUCUGAUUAGCGAGUUGGUGAGGUAAUGGCUCACCAAGGCGACGAUCAGUAGCCGACCUGAGAGGGUGAUCGGCCACACUGGAACUGAUACACAGUCCAGACUCCUACGGGAGGCAGCAGUGGGGAAUAUUGCACAAUGGGCGAAAGCCUGAUGCAGCAACGCCGCGUGAGCGAUGAAGGUCUUCGGACCGUAAAGCUCUGUCCUCAAGGAAGAUAAUGACGGUACUUGAGGAGGAAGCCCCGGCUAACUACGUGCCAGCAGCCGCCGUAA
rnacentral:rRNA from 1 species